AAGUCGUAACAAGGUUUCCGUAGGUGAACCUGCGGAAGGAACGUUAAACCCCCCUGUGAACCUUCAGUGUACUCGUACGUCCGUUAGAAAAAGCAGCAAUCCCUGGUAAAUCAUCGCCGAACAGUUUUCGAUUCAGGGACGUCUGCAAGGAGCGUGCAUGUUGUGCGAAGCAAGUGGCCUGGCAUCCCCAAGCAGUUAGUGUCUGAAAGUGUCAUUAACUGUGUAAGGAUGACGCAGUCACGAUCGUUGGAGGCCCACACGGCCGACGACCGGGCCUCUGGGCGCAAGCCCCCCUAUAACAAACGCUGCUAAUCGCGGCCGCGAUAAUACGCAGUCGACCAAAAACCGAACAACUGUUAACAAUGGAUAUCUUGGUUCUC
rnacentral:misc_RNA from 1 species